GCGCCCUUAGCUUAGUUGGCAGAGCAGUGGGACGGUACCCCAUGGUCCCGGGUUCAAUUCCCGGCGGUCGCC